UUCGGCUUAAUAUAUUCAUUAAUAUAAAAGAUUGUAAAUCUUUGUAAAGCACGGCUAGUCGGGA
rnacentral:tRNA from 1 species